rnacentral:rRNA from 1 species
CCUACGGGGGGCAGCAGUGGGGAAUCUUGCGCAAUGGCCGAAAGGCUGACGCAGCGACGCCGCGUGCGGGAUGACGCUUUUCGGAGUGUAAACCGCUGUCAGGAGGGAAGAAGGUCCUUGGGAGGCAAUGCCCAGGGGAUGACGGUACCUCCAGAGGAAGCACCGGCUAACUCCGUGCCAGCAGCCGCGGUAAUACGUAGGUGGCAAGCGUUAUCCGGAAUUAUUGGGCGUAAAGCGCGCGUAGGCGGUUUUUUAAGUCUGAUGUGAAAGCCCACGGCUCAACCGUGGAGGGUCAUUGGAAACUGGAAAACUUGAGUGCAGAAGAGGAAAGUGGAAUUCCAUGUGUAGCGGUGAAAUGCGCAGAGAUAUGGAGGAACACCAGUGGCGAAGGCGACUUUCUGGUCUGUAACUGACGCUGAUGUGCGAAAGCGUGGGGAUCAAACAGGAUUAGAUACCCCGGUAGUC